rnacentral:rRNA from 1 species
CAGAGGGUGCGAGCGUUGUCCGGAAUCACUGGGCGUAAAGGGCGCGUAGGCGGUUUUGUAAGUCGGGGGUGAAAUACUGCGGCUCAACCGCAGUGCUGCCUUCGAGACUGCAAGACUGGAGCACGGUAGAGGCGGAUGGAAUUCCCGGUGUAGCGGUGGAAUGCGUAGAGAUCGGGAAGAACACCAAUGGCGAAGGCAGUCCGCUGGGCCGUUGCUGACGCUGAGGCGCGACAGCGUGGGGAGCAAACAGGAUUAGAUACCCUGGUAGUCCACGCCGUAAACGAUGGGCACUAGGCGUCGGGGGGAGCGACCCUCCCGGUGCCGUCGCUAACGCAGUAAGCGCCCCGCCUGGGGAGUACGGCCGCAAGGUUG